CCGGCGCACGGGUGAGUAACACGUACUCACCUGCCGUCUACUCUUGGCCAGCCUUCUGAAAGGAAGAUUAAUCCAGGAUGGGAUCAUGAGUUCACAUGUCCGCAUGAUUAAAGGUAUUUUCCGGUAGACGAUGGGGAUGCGUUCCAUUAGAUAGUAGGCGGGGUAACGGCCCACCUAGUCAACGAUGGAUAGGGGUUCUGAGAGGAAGGUCCCCCACAUUGGAACUGAGACACGGUCCAA
rnacentral:rRNA from 1 species